rnacentral:rRNA from 1 species
GAGUUUGAUCAUGGCUCAGAACGAACGCUGGCGGCAGGCUUAACACAUGCAAGUCGAGCGGGCCCUUCGGGGUCAGCGGCGGACGGGUGAGUAACGCGUGGGAACGUGCCCUCUUCUCUGGAAUAGCCUCGGGAAACUGAGAUUAAUGCCGGAUACGCCGGAUCAUCGCGAGAUGGUCUGGGAAAGAUUUAUCGGAGGAGGAUCGGCCCGCGUUGGAUUAGGUAGUUGGUGGGGUAAUGGCCUACCAAGCCGACGAUCCAUAGCUGGUUUGAGAGGAUGAUCAGCCACACUGGGACUGAGACACGGCCCAGACUCCUACGGGAGGCAGCAGUGGGGAAUCUUGGACAAUGGGGGCAACCCUGAUCCAGCCAUGCCGCGUGAGCGAUGAAGGCCUUAGGGUUGUAAAGCUCUUUCAGCGGGGAAGAUAAUGACGGUACCCGCAGAAGAAGCCCCGGCUAACUCCGUGCCAGCAGCCGCCGCAGUAAC